rnacentral:rRNA from 1 species
UACGAAGGUGGCAAGCGUUGUUCGGAUUUACUGGGCGUACAGGGAGCGUAGGCGGUUGGAUAAGCCCUCCGUGAAAUCUCCAGGCUUAACCUGGAAAGUGCAGAGGGGACUGUUCAGCUAGAGGAUGGGAGAGGAGCGCGGAAUUCCCGGUGUAGCGGUGAAAUGCGUAGAGAUCGGGAGGAAGGCUGGUGGCGAAGGCGGCGCUCUGGAACAUUUCUGACGCUGAGGCUCGAAAGCGUGGGGAGCAAACAGG